rnacentral:rRNA from 1 species
GUCUAUGGCCAUGCCACCCUGAAUAUGCCCAAUCUCGUCUGAUCUCGGAAGCUAAGCAGGGUCGGGCCUGGUUAGUACUUGGAUGGGAGACCACCUAGGAAGACCAGGUGUUGGUGUUU